CCUGUUUAGCAGUGGCAGUAUCAUAACCAAUGAAGUUAAUCUGAGGUGUGAUUAUUGCUAGUUGAAAACUUUUCCUAAUUUUGGC
rnacentral:snRNA from 1 species